rnacentral:rRNA from 1 species
GAAUAUUGGACAAUGGGGGCAACCCUGAUCCAGCCAUGCCGCGUGAGUGAUGAAGGCCUUAGGGUUGUAAAGCUCUUUUAGCAGGGAAGAUAAUGACGGUACCUUGAUAAGAAGCACCGGCUAACUUCGUGCCAGCAGCCGCGGUAAUACGAAGGGUGCAAACGUUGCUCGGAAUCAUUGGGCGUAAAGCGCACGUAGGCGGCAUUCUAAGUCGGAUGUGAAAUCCCUCGGCUCAACCGAGGACGUGCAUCCGAAACUGGAACGCUCGAGUAUGGAAGAGGGUCGCGGAAUUCUCGGUGUAGAGGUGAAAUUCGUAGAUAUCGGGAGGAACACCAGUGGCGAAGGCGGCGACCUGGGCCAAUACUGACGCUGAGGUGCGAAAGCGUGGGGAGCAAAC